AUGGCGCCCCACUGCGGGAGAGGGGGAGGGGGUUGCCCGCGGGGGUCACACAGGGCCACAGUGUUGCCAUGGCAUCGUCCCCAGUGCUGCCCUCCUAUUGGCCGCCCAGGGGAGGAGGGCGGGGCUACACUGAUGGCUGUGAGGCCCCGGGGUGAGGCAGGGAGGCCGCUCAGGAGCUGCCUCAGCCUUGGGGCAGGGCAGGGGCAGCUGCAGGUGGCAGCAGCCACGAGGCUGGGGUGUGGGCACGGAGGUCACGGCUGUGUGCGAGAGCUGUGCCAGAAAAUCACCAGGGUCAAAUCAGUUCUGUGUCAGCAGCUGACAGGCCAGCAGGAGGCACGUGGCUCGGCUGGUGAGGAUGAGGUCACUUCUGCCCGAGGGGGGGGGGGGGGGGCAGUGCCCAGAGCCCUGCUGCUCUUUGCAGAGGAGCUGCUCCUGCACACAGCUGUCUCUGGGCAGUGCUGCCAGGUUGGGGGGGGGGGAGGUUGUUUGUUUUGUUUUGACACAGAGGAUUUUCGUUCGGUCCAGAAGAAAAUUGGAUGAUUUGGACAACAGAUACUUCAUGAAGGUUUACAAGAGAAGUGCCAAGUGCUGUGCCUAGGCGGGAAUAAACCCAUCCAUUAGGAGAGAUUGAGGGACUUG
rnacentral:lncRNA from 1 species